rnacentral:rRNA from 1 species
UACGUAGGGUGCGAGCGUUGUCCGGAAUUAUUGGGCGUAAAGGGCUCGUAGGCGGUUCGUCACGUCGGGAGUGAAAACUCGGGGCUUAACCCCCGAGCCUGCUUCCGAUACGGGCAGACUAGAGGUAGGCAGGGGAGAAUGGAAUUCCUGGUGUAGCGGUGAAAUGCGCAGAUAUCAGGAGGAACACCGGUGGCGAAGGCGGGUCUCUGGGCCGAUACUGACGCUGAGGAGCGAAAGCGUGGGGAGCGAACAGG